UCGUGCUAGGCGGGGAGCUAGCGGUGCCCUGUACCCGCAAUCCGCUACAGCGGGGCCGAACUCCCUCCUUGAGGCUCUGUGCAGCCGAGACUACCGCAGUCAGCGGUGUUGAGGGCUGGGUCCUGAGCGGCGAGAGCCCGUGAACGGGUCAGGCCCGGAAGGGAGCAGCCAUAAGCGGUCACUCUCGGGUGCCUCAGGGGUGCCUGGCCUGAGCCGGCUGACUGUGUGUAAGUCGGCACGCAGGGGUCGAGAGGAGGGUGCACGA
rnacentral:SRP_RNA from 1 species